CGAUACUUUAAACACCCAAUUGAUUUUAUCAGCAAAACAUUUCAUACUUGAGUCAUUGGCUCAUUGCCCAUUAAUGGAGUGUUUUUUUUUCCGAAUUUUUAACCCAGAUUGAAGUUCCCUUCAUUGUUCUUUCGAAUCAGUCAGUGUUGUGGAUUUAACUAUAAUCAUAAGCACCCAAUCGAUUAUCUUUUAUCAUUUUUUAGCUCUGAAAUAACCUAUAGUUAAAGAAUCUCAUUAAUGGAGACUCGAACGGUUAUCAAUAAUGGAGGAUUUUGAAGUUUUCCACCAAAACCUUCUUCUAUUCGAAAUUUUUCAAUAGGAAAGCACCAUUUCUCAAGGCAAUAUGGUAAUGCCAUUAUCUAUGAGCAGCAAUAUCUAUAGAUGCAUACCAAUUUUUUAAAUGUUUCUCCCACAAAAUGAUCAGUUGAACAUCUUUCGAAGAACUGCGGUCAGCCAUACUGCAAAUGCAGUUGGAAGAACCCGUUCGACGAUGCAAUUCAAAGUAACUCG